CCCUAAGUCUGGGAUACCAUUUGGAAACAGGUGCUAAUACCGGAUAAUAAAGCAGAUCGCAUGAUCAGCUUUUGAAAGGCGGCGUAAGCUGUCGCUAAGGGAUGGCCCCGCGGUGCAUUAGCUAGUUGGUAAGGUAACGGCUUACCAAGGCGACGAUGCAUAGCCGAGUUGAGAGACUGAUCGGCCACAUUGGGACUGAGACACGGCCCAAACUCCUACGGGAGGCAGCAGUAGGGAAUCUUCCACAAUGGACGCAAGUCUGAUGGAGCAACGCCGCGUGAGUGAAGAAGGUUUUCGGAUCGUAAAGCUCUGUUGUUGGUGAAGAAGGAUAGAGGUAGUAACUGGCCUUUAUUUGACGGUAAUCAACCAGAAAGUCACGGCUAACUACGUGCCAGCAGCCGCGGUAAUACGUAGGUGGCAAGCGUUGUCCGGAUUUAUUGGGCGUAAAGCGAGCGCAGGCGGAAAAAUAAGUCUAAUGUGAAAGCCCUCGGCUUAACCGAGGAACUGCAUCGGAAACUGUUUUUCUUGAGUGCAGAAGAGGAGAGUGGAACUCCAUGUGUAGCGGUGGAAUGCGUAGAUAUAUGGAAGAACACCAGUGGCGAAGGCGGCUCUCUGGUCUGCAACUGACGCUGAGGCUCGAAAGCAUGGGUAGCGAACAGGAUUAGAUACCCUGGUAGUCCAUGCCGUAAACGAUGAGUGCUAAGUGUUGGGAGGUUUCCGCCUCUCAGUGCUGCAGCUAACGCAUUAAGCACUCCGCCUGGGGAGUACGACCGCAAGGUUGAAACUCAAAGGAAUUGACGGGGGCCCGCACAAGCGGUGGAGCAUGUGGUUUAAUUCGACGCAACGCGAAGAACCUUACCAGGUCUUGACAUCUAGUGCAAUCUGUAGAGAUACGGAGUUCCCUUCGGGGACGCUAAGACAGGUGGUGCAUGGCUGUCGUCAGCUCGUGUCGUGAGAUGUUGGGUUAAGUCCCGCAACGAGCGCAACCCUUGUUAUUAGUUGCCAGCAUUAAGUUGGGCACUCUAAUGAGACUGCCGGUGACAAACCGGAGGAAGGUGGGGAUGACGUCAAGUCAUCAUGCCCCUUAUGACCUGGGCUA
rnacentral:rRNA from 1 species